AAAAAAUGAAUUUAAAGGCAGCAAGCAGCACUGCUGCCUUAAAAAGGCAGCAGUCAUUUAGAAAAAAAAAAAAAGAAGGAAAAAAAAAAAAAAAAAGAAAGAGCAUAUCUGGCUUAGCUCGGAAUGGCCUGAGCCGAAAAGUCAAGCCUUGAUUUUUUGGCCAAGCAAAAGAUCGGCUCGGCUCGGGCCCAAUAAAAGCUCACACCAUUAUACUCAAGCCAUGCCUGAGCCUCGAGUUUCGACUCGUUGACAUUUCUAUCUCGUGAUAAAGCCGUAUUCUACUUGUAUGUGUGUGCAUGCGUGUUUAUUUUUAUACAGGUUACAGAAUGGUUCACCCUUGUGAAAUUGUUUCUUCUCCUCGUCUCCCUUAAUAAAUAUCCUUCCUAGAACCUGGAAAAAAUGAAAUUUUCAGAGAGGGAAUUCUUUAUCUGGAUUGUGAAAGACUAAAUUGUGGCUGAAGCAAUGAAGAACACAAUGGCAAUCACAACACUCCAUUCAAAUUGAAUACAGGAUUUUGAACCAGAGUUGGAAAGAAUUUGCAACUCAAAAACUGUAUUUAGUUGGAUAAGAAUGUGCUGCUAACCGUGUAAAGUACUAAUAUGCCCCUAAUCGUUUAGUUAAUGCAAAUAUAAAUGAGGCAAAAUAUGACAUGAAAACUUGCAGCAUGAAAUCAGUAAUGGAGAGAAUUAAGGGAAACAUGGAGCAUGAAAUAGGUAAUGAAAAGACUUUGUGCUCCAAUCACGUCUUGCUGUCUUCAUCGUUCUCCUUGGUUGAUGAAGAUUUGCCGAAUCUUAUGUCGUGUACUCACCUGGUGUCUUGCAAUGGCAGCUGUUCGCCUUCUUUUGAAAAUUCUCCUCAAAGGAUUGCUUUAUUUGUCUAAAAUAUGUGAACGUAGUCGAUAUCAAUCUUUUACUGAAAAACCGAGAAAUUUUAAGCCUUUGCAGCCGGUCAACAGUCCAAAGGUGCUAGAACAAGUCCAUAGGGUAGCAUUGAGAACUUCCACUUAAUUUUUAUUUAUUUCUUUUAUUUAUUUUUUAUUUUUACCUUGGUUAGAUUUUUUGUAAUUAUAAUAUUUGGCCUGCUGGAUGCUGCAAAACAGAAAUGACCCGAUUCUUUCGAUCCGAUAUCGGUGUUCUUCGAAAGGAGAAUUUUGUCAAUCAAGAAUCAUUUCGUGACAUUCAUGAACGAAUUAAUGAGUGUUGAUUGUUAAUUCUCAUUAUUUUACAUAAAUCAAAUGAUUUUAAUCCUGUACUUCAUUCGACUUGCAUCCUCCUAGGUAUCUUCCAAGGAUGGAGAAUCACAUGGGAUACCAGUUUCCAACUUUGUGGCUAUUUCCAUAAGUGAUGGAGAUGCCCGCUAGAAACUCAUAGAAAUAUGCUUACCUUUUUCAUCUUCAAGCUUGAUCAUAUUUUCUCUAAUAAAAUUAUCCUUCUUCUCACUUUUGUUAGUGUGCAUGUUCCAUGAUUUUAAUGCAAC
rnacentral:lncRNA from 1 species